rnacentral:lncRNA from 10 species
CGCCAUUCUCCUGCCUCCGGCUUCCAAGUAGCUGGGAAUACAGGCGCCCGCCACCACGCCCGGCUAAUAUUUUUGUAUUUUUAGUAUAGACAGGGUUUCACCGUGUUAGCCAGGAUGGUCUUGAUCUCCUGACCUCGUGAUCCGCCCGCCUCGGCCUCCGAAAGCGCUGGGAUUACAGGCGUGAGCCACCGCGCCCGGCCAUUGCUUUCUUGCAGCAACUGGGGAUUGUUGAUUCGGGACCCCUAGUCGGAGGGUGAUUUACACGUCAGUUGCAGCGCGUUGGUCAAUGUUCCAGGCUGUCAGCUCGGCACCGCCCUCAGGGCUCAAGCUACACAGGGCAUUGAAAGCCCCAGGAAAAUGGAAGAAGAGGAAAAUGAAAAAAGACAAAAGGGAUAUGAUGCUGGGCAAAAUCCCACCAAAAUCAGACGUAGGAAGGAAUCCAGCCCUUUUGCCCAGUAGAAUUAUGGGGGAAAAGGAGAAGCAAAUGGCGAGACACUUGAAUUCCAAGCUCUCCUCUUGAAGUGGAAGCCGUAGAGAAAGGAGGCAUGUUAGGUUGAAGAAAGAUGGUGAGGUUCCCAGAGACUAGCCACUUCAGGAAGCUCUUCUUACCCUUCGGGAUAAAGGGAGCAGAGAAGGAAAAAGCAGAGUCCAUGGAAUCAUGGGGACACACAGCAAUGCCAGAGACUUCUUGCCAAAGCAAGGAGCGAGCAGGGAAGAAAAGCUCCCACCUCUCACCUUCCAAACCUCAGGCUCCUGCUGGUGUCUCCCAUUAACCAAAACCACAGACACCAACCAGCAAGAAAGCCAGGGACCUAGAGUCAGUAGGGGUAAAUAGAGCCUUUCAGGACACGGAGAAGGGCAGGCAAAGGCACAGAUGGGUGUAGCCAGGGGCAGCAAGGGGAGAAUAACCAGGCACCUCCUUCCAUUCCAGCAUGAGGGCCUGGAAGCCCCUCUUUCUUGCACAUGCACAUGCCAUGCUGGGGAGCGGCAAUGGGAGUUCCGAAAUACUGAACAUUUAUCUAGAGACUGAGUCACUUAAAGCAACUGCUGAAAUUAUUGAAACAGACUGUUUUCUAAUCUAGACUAAAAUAUACUAUAUUUUUCUCUCUAUCCAUCAGUCCAUUGUAAUGAAAAUUUAAUCAAUUACUUAAAGCAAUAAAAGAAACUACAUUUUUAUUGUACAACUUACUGAAGUGUGAGGAAAUGGGUGGAUCCUUCCCACUUUGUAUCCUCUCUACCGUUCUCUACUUCCAAGGUAACUGAGGUGACUUAACAAUGAAACAAGUCAGAAAUGUCCUGAUAGAGACCAAAGGAAGACAAUAUUUCAGACUCCUCUGGAUUGUUCUGGAAGAGAAAAUGCAGAAACAGCAGGGAGCAGAAGAUAAACAGGCAAUCCGUGACUCAUUAAAACAAGCAUUGGUCGCCAACAUUGUGGAGUGUGUGAAGACCCCAGAUCCAACUCGCCUAUAAACUUUUUUUUACCAGCUGGACUUAGCAUCUGCCAGAGUUUGGAAAGAGAGAUAAUCUGGUACAAAUGAUUUCAGUGUGUCGCAUUUAUUAACCUGCCACCUUACAUAACUCUGCUGAUUGGGAACUCAGGGAAAUGUUUGAGCAAUGACACAGCUUAUUGUUGGAAUGUUACAACUUUACUAAUAAAGAUGCAAGUUACUGUUUAAAAAAAAAUACAAAGACCACAGAGCAAUUGGAAAAUAAAAAUGAAGCAAAGCUAAAAAGCAUCAUGGUCUUGAGAAAUGUACGUGCCAGAAAAAUAAUUGAAAUUCAGUUUGAAUUUUGAUCAUUUUCAGUGCUUUACAUCAAUUAGGCAGGAAAAGUAUUUUAUUUUUAAAUAGUUGUCACAUUAGUUUGUCUUAACAGCUUUGAUGUAAAUAAAUGCCAAACUGGGAGCAUUAUCAUGUCCUUUCCAAACUACUUACUGUUCUAAAUGAAUGAUUCGCUUCUGUUGUUAAAUCUCUGACAAUUGCUAGAAGGGCAUUUUCACAGUAGAACUGAAGGAAAAGUAAAAUAGUGCCCAUUUUUGUUUAUAUACAAAACCGUGUCCAUUUUUGUCUUAAACAGCCUGCCUGGCUUCACAGUUUAUUAAAGACAAAGAACAUUACCCCAGGAAUAAAAUCAGUACCGAUAACCUGCAUACUUUUCAUUCUUGGGCUUUGAUUUACUUCCUUUUUUGCCUCAAAGUUUGCUUGGGAUCAUUUGGUCAAGAGGUGGAAACACCAAAGAGCAAUUUUCUUUUUUCUAUUUCUUAUCCAGAUCUCAUGCCAGUAAUUUCAAAUUAAUGAGGAUGUUUACUCUCUGGUACAAAAUUUGCACAUACUAGCUUAUAAAAUAUGGAUAAGCUGGUUUCCUAUAACAAAAUAUAGCCCUACCAUUUCAAAAAUGAAAACUGCAGAGACUUUGGAAAAAAAUCAGCUGAAGGAAUUCUUCACGUUUCACAAUGGUUAGCCUAUUAUUUGUAGUUUUGAAACUUUAUUGGUCCCCAAUCUAAUCUUUUCUGAGUAUAAAAACAUUAACAUAUGGUUUAACACAGCACAGGGCUGGAAAGUCCAUAUCCCAAAUGCAUAUUGUAUGCAGGGUGACAUUCACACUAAAUACCAUCCCUCAGGGUCUGUACUCCAUUUUACCUGGGAUUGGAGAGCCAUGAAAUCCCUGGAAAAGUUGUUCAUGAGUCUGAACCAAAUGGUGUGCAGUGUACUGAGAUACUAACAGUCUAUGCUUCUGCCAAAGGUUGCGGCUCAAAUGUCUCUCUAAGUAACAUUAAAAAUCUGCUGCUUCAUGCCUAUGAAUUUCAAUAUUUAUAGCAUUCAAUAAAACGGUCCACUGUCAGAGAGAGAUGUGCCACUGUGCACUCUCUGAGCAGAUGGGCGGCAAUAUGGCACAUUUACAUGGACCAGCUGUGGAGCGCAGAAAUGGAUGCUGGUCAGGGGCAAGGUGCAGGCCCCACAUCUGGAAUUCUAACCGACUGGCCUCGGUACCCAUUGUAAACUUUCCUUCCACAGGGUGAGCUCUGAUUUAGAGCUGCUCACUAGUGUGCCUUAAACUGCAUCAAGAGUCCUCAUUAACGCAAGAGACUAGAGGGAGGUUAGGGCCUGGAAUCCCUCUGUCGGGCAUCUGUUAGAGUCUGUGGAUGGCACUCUGUAGUCGUUAUAGAUGCACCCAGGGGAAGAUUCUCUCAGGCAUGAUGCAGUGUUCUCUAUUUAACUGAUUUUAUACCCCCAAAAAAGAGGUUUUUAUUAUAAACAGAGCUACUUUUUCCAUAUCCCCUUUUCUAAAUGGAUCAGAAUAUACCUCAGAGAAAGGACAAUUUCUAGAAUAUUUAAAAAUUUCGUAGAAAUGUCGAAUUCUUUUUUCAAGUCUCAAAUGGAACGUUGUCUUAUUUUGGGUAGAAUCAGAAUGGUUCAAAUGCAGUUAGAAGUUUCUAAAAUAUAUGAAAUUCUUAGACUAGCUGUUUUCAUUGUAGUAUCACUAUUCAGACAAUCAAAACAGCUUAGUUGUGUGUCAUUUAAAUAAUUCAACUGACUUGAUAGAAAGGUAAGCUGCUUUUGACAUUUUAAAUAUGAACAAGAAAUGGUUUGUUACAUUCAAAUACUCAUCAGAAAUAACAUUCCUGUUUCAUUUUCAAUAAAUACUUUUAAGAGAAAGUUCUACUCAUUCUUUCAUUUUGUAAAAUAAUCUUUCCCACAUUUUCCAAUUAUUGACUAAGAUGUAUUUGGUCUUCAGUGGUCCCAUCUCUUGAAUAGUUGUUUAUAUCCUUACGUUACUGAGUAUUCAUUUUCUAUGACAAUCUCUCAAGAUCUAUUCCAGUCUCCUUUCACCCCCAAGAGAAACGCAGGUAUUUUAAGCAAGUGAGACAAUACAACUCGUUAUCAAAUGGGUUAUGGUAACUCAAUCAUGUAAUGUAUGGAUAUUUUAGGGUCUCAUCAUUCAACACUCAACUUUAAAACUACUCUGAAAUCUAAACAUAGAUAUGUAUUUAUGCUAUUUGGCCUCAAUCUUCAAAAAGGAAAAUUUUGGCCAGGCGCGUUGGCUCACGCCUGUAAUUCCAGCACUUUGAGAGGCCGAGGGGGGCAGAUCACCUGAGGUCAGGAGUUCGAGACCAGCCUGGCCAACACGGAGAAACCCCAUCUCUACCAAAAGUACAAAACUAGCCAGGCGUGGUGGCACGUGCCUGUAAUUCCAGCCACGCAGGAGGCUGAGGCAGGAGAAUAGCUUGAA